rnacentral:rRNA from 1 species
GACGAACGCUGGCGGCGUGCUUAACACAUGCAAGUCGAACGGAAAGGCCCUGCUUGCAGGGUACUCGAGUGGCGAACGGGUGAGUAACACGUGGGUGAUCUGCCCUGCACUUCGGGAUAAGCCUGGGAAACUGGGUCUAAUACCGGAUAGGAGCCAUUUUUAGCGUGAUGGUUGGAAAGUUUUUUCGGUGUAGGAUGAGCUCGCGGCCUAUCAGCUUGUUGGUGGGGUAAUGGCCUACCAAGGCGACGACGGGUAGCCGGCCUGAGAGGGUGGGCGGCCACAUUGGGACUGAGAUACGGCCCAGACUCCUACGGGAGGCAGCAGUGGGGAAUAUUGCACAAUGGGCGCAAGCCUGAUGCAGCGACGCCGCGUGUGGGAUGACGGCCUUCUGGUUGUAAACUCCUUUCGCUAGGGACGAAGCUUUUUGUGACGGUACCUAGAGAAGAAGCACCGGCUAACUACGUG